rnacentral:rRNA from 1 species
UUUCCAGCAGCCGCGGUAAUACAGAGGUCCCAAGCGUUGUUCGGAUUCACUGGGCGUAAAGGGUGCGUAGGCGGUCGGGUAAGUCUGAUGUGAAAUCUUCAAGCUUAACUUGGAAACUGCAUCGGAUACUAUUCGGCUAGAGGAAUGGAGGGGAGACUGGAAUACUUGGUGUAGCAGUGAAAUGCGUAGAUAUCAAGUGGAACACCAGUGGCGAAGGCGAGUCUCUGGACAUUUCCUGACGCUGAGGCACGAAAGCCAGGGGAGCAAACGGGAUUAGAUACCCGGGUAGUCC